CAAGCCAACAAGCACUUCACAGGCUCUCAAGGCGGUCUCGGGUCAAGAGGUCUCCUGUUCUUGUUUCCCGUAAACAUGAGGACCCCUGUACACCCCUGUAUCAAAUGUUCAUGGUGUAAUAAUUACUUCCCGUUGUCCGCACUCGCAGCUCAUAGGGCGGCCUGCCUUCCAGAGGGCCUUGGGACUGGAUCGAAAGAUAUAUCUACUAGAAACAAUGAAGAGACGUCGUCGACUAGCUCUGAUCGAUCAGAUGUCGGUUUCUCUCAACCAGACCCCAGCGAUAUUGGAAGUUGUUCUCCACGGGCGGGUCUCAGCGACGAAGCCAGUCAAAACCAAAGGACUAUCUCCGAAGAAGGCGGGUCUGGUAGGCUCAGCCAUUGGCCCUCCUCUUCAGCGAUCGGUAGUGGACGAAAACGAAAACAAGCGAAUACAGGAACAAACGACACCUGCAGGAAAAAGCAAGCCCGUCGUGAGGGAUUCUCCCAUCCAAACAGUUCUCCACAGCCAGGACCCAGCGGUUAUAACCCGGGACGGCCGACAACAACACCCUCACCAACACCAGGUGAAAUAAGCCAACAUUUCAACGGGGCCUUAACAACGAUCGACGUGCCCGUCCCACCAGCAGACAACGGCGACAUUGCAUCAUAUUUCAACAACAACACUGGCCGUCUUCGCGAGGCAGUAGAGUCUGUAUUCCAAGGCUGCCAGCAGGUUAGACCUCCUUCUUUUAAAGUGUACGUUGACAUGCAUCUGCGUUUAGUCAGAGAAGACCCCGACGGUGGAGUUCAAUAUAGAGAUAUGUAUAUGAGAAGUCAUAUGCAGGUAAUUAGCUAUGACGAUAUAGAUUCAUAUGUACGUGAACUAUCCGAAUAUUUUGUUAAUCGGUUUGAACAUGACAUGUCGGACGAAGAGGGCAGUGGAUUUA